GACGAACGCUGGCGGCGUGCUUAACACAUGCAAGUCGAACGAUGAAACCUAGCUUGCUAGGUCGAUUAGUGGCGAACGGGUGAGUAACACGUGACUAACCUGCCCCUUUCUCUGGGAUAACGCUCCGAAAGGAGUGCUAAUACCGGAUACUCACACCGAGGCACAUGCCUUGGUGUGGAAAGUUUUUCGGAAAGGGAUGGAGUCGCGGCCUAUCAGCUUGUUGGUGGGGUAACGGCUCACAAAGGCGACGACGGGUAGCCGGCCUGAGCGGGCGACCGGCCACACUGGGACUGAGACACGGCCCAGACUCCUACGGGAGGCAGCAGUGGGGAAUAUUGCACAGUGGGCGCAAGCCUGAUGCAGCGACGCCGCGUGAGGGACGAAGGUCUUCGGAGUGUAAACCUCUUUCAGUAGGGACGAAGCGAAAGUGACGGUACCUAAAGAGGAAGCACCGGCUAACUACGUGCCAGCAGCCGCCGUAA
rnacentral:rRNA from 1 species